CCACCAAUCACCGCCAUCGGCAUCGACCGCCCCGCUGGCGGGAGGAGCUGUCACUCCGGAAGUAGAGCGCUGUCGUCGAAGCACGGCCAAGCGCGCGAUGUUGCUACGAACGCGCGUUUUGUGCUACACAGUGCACACCCCACGCGGUAUCAACUUCGACCUCUCCGCCGACGAUGCGAUCCGUCGCAUCCAGGACAAGUAUGGGCGCCGUUGGCUCGGCGCGCAGCUCGACUACCUCCGUCUGGAGACGCCAUCGAAGGAGUUCUUGCCUUUUUACCUCUGCAGCGGCCGCAUCCACGCCUCCUUCGUCGGCAAUGUGAGCUACAGCGUCAACACGACCUCCGGCGAUGACAAGAGUGCACGCUCCUCCACCCGCUACGUCAGCACGUCCUUGCAGACCCUCGACAGCGUCUUCGAGGAGAACAAAACGCAAAUCUACGCCGGCUACAAGUACAACGUCGCCCACGUCCAUCACGCGCUGCGCGGCGAUCAGCUGAGCUACUCGCUGCGCAAGAUGUACGAGGUGGACACUACCGGAGCCAUCAUCAACCUUUUCGAGCAGUCGACCGGGACGAUGCUGAAGUUUGUCGAAAUGGAGGUGCGGCAGCAGGCGGAGGAGACCGCUCGCUCCCUCGUCCGGUCCUUCCACCCCUCCGCCGACUCCGUCACGGUGGAGUUUAAGGAGUUCGCGUUCCACCUUGACGAUGUCACCCCCACGUUUGUGCCAUGCUUCGUCGUCAAGGCAGAAUACGACGCGGAGCGCUACACGCUCUACGUGUCGGGCCUCAACGGCCAUGUCGGCGGUCCGUAUCUGCUCAACUCGGUGUACAUAGCCCGCACCACUGCCCUCGCCACCCUGGCCGCCGCGCUGCUCCUUGUGCCGAACAAGGUGGCGGGCUUCUUCUUCGGCUCCGUGGCGUGUGUGGCCACCUACUACGCGGCCUUCUUCGCGGCUCGCUGGUACCCGGUGAUGCGGCGCAACUGGAACCGCCAGAAACGGGAGCGGCUACGCCGUGAGAACCUUGGGCUCGAUCAAGCCGGUUACCGUCCCAACACCUCUUCCCAACGCAUUCAGCAGGAGUACCGCUCCUCCACCUACUGGGACACCCACGCCUAUCAGCAGCGACGCCACACUGGCUCCCAUGGGCCGCGAUCUGCUUCCUCCUCGUCGUCCUCCCCCUACUCGAGCUUCUCGGCGCAUUCAGUAGCAGACCCGCUCGGGUACUACCGCGCGUUGGGGCUCCACGGUGACGAGUCAGUCAACGAAAUCCGCAGCGCGUAUCGGCGAAUCGUGCUGAAGCAGCACCCCGACGUUGGCGGCUCAAGUGAGGCGAUGGUAAAGGCGAACGAAGCCUAUCGCGUCCUUCGAGAUCCAAAGCGGCGAGCAGCGUACGACCAGAGCUAAGGUCUGCGUCGCGCUCGCUCUUUCGGCAUGUCUGCGCGCGUGUGUUGUUGGUCGGGUGUGCGCACGGCCGCAUGCGUAUUAGGCUUUGCGUACUUCUCCGUUACUCUCGCUCUCCUGUUGUCGUUGUAGCUACCUGCUGCUCUUCACGGAGGCGAGCAUGUGCGUUGGUCAGUGACCGAGUACACUCGCAUCCGUGUGAAGGCAUCUCUGUGCAUCAGCCGUUGUUGCGGUUACAGGAUCAAGUGCAUCACAGGCAGCAGUGCGUGGAGGCACAGGUUUGGUAAGCUAUAGUAUGUCCGUACGCCUCACCAAACGCACACCCAGGGAGGGGCGGAGGGCGCAGCUCGCAAGAUUCAGCUUGGGGACACGAUGGACGUACAUGCUAGGAGGAGACACGCAGCGUUAGUGGGUGCCCUCAUCACCCCACUCGCUCACGGUCACGCUGCUGUUGAGGUCACGCCCUCAGCCGUGCUGUCCCUCUCCCCGGCGUCCCCUCUAUCAGCUGGUCGUGGCUUCUCUCAUCUUUUCCCUCCUAAAACCCUGAUGGCGGAGGAGUACACACACACACGCACACACCUCCCAGUGCGUGGUAUCGCAGGGUCCAGCACCACCACCACCACCACUCUGAGGGAGAAAGCCGAGAAGCAGCCGCACUUCUAUCCGUGUCAAUGUCCAACCACUUCUGGUGGUGACAGGGUCAGGCACUCACAGCGUGGGGAGAGGGGGUAGGUAGGGGAGGUCAGAGCGAUGUAUCUUGACUGAUGCCGUCGUCCAGGUUGUGGACGUCGCUGCGUCGGUUUGACCUGCAACAGUGAGCACGUCUGUGCCAUUCAUGUAAUGGGCAGAGCUUCGGCGUGGCUCUGACGUGCCCCUCACACUGCCUUGCUGGUGGAGGAGCCUGGGCCACCGCGAGUGGGAUGCGGCAGGUGGGGACCCGCAUGGUGGUGGGGGGGGGGGGGGGGGCGGCUGUGGGGCGACCUACGGGGGCAGGGGCGAAUAGAUCAUGAAGCAAGGGGCCUGCGCAGAUGACCGGGUCGGCGCAUUGCUGCCACGCGUGAUGGGGCCGGUGGGUCGAGUGGAGUGGGAGCCCCUGUUGUAGGGCGUAGGAACGGACGCACGUUGGACAACAGAAGCACAUCCAUCUCUCGUAGAUGCACAUAUCCGCACAUGCGUCACUCAACACUUCAGCUUCAAAGUCUUUCCUUUCCCCCACCCGUCGGAAACCACGCUGUGUCGCACACGCAUAGAGACGGACAUGCCCGCAAACCUCAGCGAGGCACACAUCCGCACGCCUGACGCACUCUUGUCUUUUCCUCGCUAUCCUAUCGCAGCUGAUCUUUUCCCCUCCCCCCUCCUCCGCCUCUCCCGCCUACUGGUCGUGUUUCCGAGGCCGCCUCCACACGCCUGCACCGUUCCCCGCACUCACAUCCCGCUCUUUCCACAG
rnacentral:misc_RNA from 1 species